GACAGAGGCCUCAAGCGUUAGGCGGAAUCACUGGGCUUAAAGCGUGUGUAGGCGGAUCGUUAAGUGCCUUGUGAAAUCCCACGGCUUAACUGUGGAACGGCUGGGCAUACUGGCGGUCUUGAGCCAUCUAGGGGCGACUGGAACAAACGGUGGAGCGGUGAAAUGCGUAGAUAUCGUUUGGAACGCCAAUGGUGAAAACAGGUCGCUGGGGAUGAGCUGGACGCUGAGACACGAAAGCCAGGGGAGCAAACGGG
rnacentral:rRNA from 1 species